AUCACGCUUGGCGGCAACGACUUCGUCAACAACUACUACCUAGUGCCCUUCUCCGCUAGGUCCCAGCAGUUCAAGAUCCACGACUACGUCCACUUCAUCAUCUCCGAGUACAAGAAAGUCCUCGCGUGGAGUUUCCUACAUUGCAGGGUGAUAUGGAUGAAGGAAAAGAGGCCAGCAGUGCUGGGCUAAACAAUUCAGGGAGGUAUUGGAUUGGCCUCUGUAGAAACUAUGGUAAAGGCACCUAAUCUUGGGCCCCUAGAAGAAGGAAACUCAACAUGCAUGGUUCCCAUUAGAGGCAACCAGACCGUUGUUGAAAAUAUUGAUGAUUCCUGUUGUGUAUUCUCAAGGAAUGGUCAGGUUUAGUACUGACCAUUGCGGUGCGUAGAAGAAAGGUGCUACUUUCACUUAGUUCUCUCAGUUCUAAGUUGGGACUGCAAAAAUUUGAGGAUUUCCCCACAUAGACCUGAAGUUUCUGCUUCUAGCAUUUCUCUUUUGUAAGCAGCAUGGCAAACCCGGUUUCAAAGCAAAAGACCUGAGGAAGAAUGUGGAUUGAUCACUGUGAUUUCAAGUCCUUCAGAGCUGGAGCUGUUAAGACUUGAGACAGAUAUAUACAGGUAACAGGGGCCUACAAGAUCCAAUUCAUGUUUGACAGUUCGUCAAAAUAAACAAGUAGUAUUGAUGGGUAAAGAAGAAACUGAUGCACAUCAAUCAAACGCCAACCCACCUGCUAUUGGCACUAAAUGAGGAAGGAAAAAGAACAUUGUCCCUGAAGGCUCGAGACACACAAACAGGAAACUGAGUUUGGGAAAGGUGGUUGUCUCCUUGACGCACACCAUGGUGCCCUUGUCUACUCUCUGUCUUCUUCCUUGCACAGACACCUUAUUUACUGGUAGUAGGUUCUUUCAUAGCAUUUUUCGGUGGAGUUGUACUGGCAUCUUUGACUGAAGUUUCUUUCAACUGGGACAAAACAUGACAAGAAAGGGGAAGAACUAACCUACAUGGAGCUUGGUCAAGGUCGCCGCUCAUGUUUGAUGGCAUUGUUUCUGGUUCCACCGACGUUGUCGAUGCCUGUUACCUAUGGCCCCUUUGCUGCUUUCCUCGGUCGGGCGUGGUCCAUCAGCCACUGCAUGCAGACAAUAGAAUUUAGGCCAGCAAUUGUCGCUUAUCUACGCUACAGAUCGACCCAUAGACAGGGAAAGGAAGCGAUGGUUGGUGGGGAGAGGAGCCGGGGGACGUGUUGCGACGGGACAAGAGGCGCAGUGGCAGGGAGAGAAGGUGAAGACUACGCCAUGUGAGUUGCUGAUGUUGUGCCUUAUGCGGUGGGGAUAAGGGAUGUGUGAUGUGCUUGUGUGGUGAAAGGCGAGGAGUGGCUUUUCCUUUUUGCGGGAGGCUGUUCAUUUUUGUCUAUUCUAUUUUUAUAUUCAAGAUACAUACAAUUAUUUAUCAUCAUUAUAAUCGAGAUAAUAAAUAUUUAUUUAUUCCAUUAAUGUGUUGAGUUAUUUUGUUUUUGACUUUAAUAUGCUCUAUGGAAUGGUAAAAAAUUGGUCCAUCCAAUUUACAAGUUGAGUACUCUAUGUUUGCACGUUCUUACAUUUUCAUGUGAAAUCUUCAUGCUAACUGUAUGAAGUACUCAUGCAGGAUGGUUACAAGUCAACGAAGAUUUUUUACUAUAAUUGCUCAAGUACUGUGCGAAGGAAGCUGAAGACAAUAUUCCUGAUAUUUUAGGAGAUGUAAGUGAAGUGGAAUAAUGAAAAUACAUUGCACCAAGUACAUUUUUUGAUUGUUAAUGUAAAUUUUUUCUAUACAUGUGAAAUUGGAAGUGCAUAGCUUAUGUAUGCAAUCAGAAAAAAAAUUAAAGGCCCGUGGCAACGCACGGGCAUUGUACUAGUUUAAGAUAAAUCGU